rnacentral:rRNA from 1 species
AGCCUGAUGCAGCCAUGCCGCGUGAGUGAUGAAGGCCCUCGGGUUGUAAACCUCUUUUUCGCGGUGAAGAUAAUGACGGUACCCGCAGAAGAAGCCCCGGCUAACUCCGUGCCAGCACCCGCGGUAAUACGGAGGGGGCUAGCGUUGUUCGGAAUCACUGGGCGUAAAGCGCGCGUAGGCGGAUGGGUUAGUCGGGUGUGAAAUCCCGGGGCUCACCCCCAGAACUGCCCUCGAAACUGCGUGGCUAGAGGCCGGGAGAGGAGAGUGGAAUUUCCGGUGGAGAGGUGGAAUUCGUAUAUUUUGGAAAGAACACCCGUGGCGAAGGCGGCUCUCUGGGUCGGUUCUGGACGCUAAGGGCCGAAAGCGUGGGGAGCAAACAGGAUUAAAUACCCUGGUAAUCCACGCCCUAAACCAUGGGUGCCAUAUGUUGGGAGGUUAUCUCUCCGU